GUACUCUUACUAGGACAAUCCCAUGGACAGAGGAGCCUGGCAGACUACAGUCCCUAGGGUCGUGAAGGGUCAGACACAGCUGAGUAUCUGAGCACCUGUCACUUUCACCUAUGCUGAAGUACAUGCCCAAAGAAUAAAAUAAAAAGGUAAGCUAGAGUUUUCUAGCAUUCCACUUUUGUGCAAGCAGAAUGAGGCUAUAUUCAGAAAGGGAGCCCUCCUGGCCAUGUAGUUGGUCAGUGUUAAGUUCCCAUUCAUGUUAGCUUUCUUCCUAGUUGACCAACCAUGGUGUUAGAUCCCUGCUCUCUGGUCUAAUCAGCAUGGCAGCAGAAGAGUGUGCCCUUGUGAUGGUGCCCUUGUGUCAUAAAUUCUUUAACUUUUCCAUUCUUACUGGUAACUUUUUAAAACCAGAUUCCUCUGAACACUUUGGUAAAUCUCCCAAUUGCCUCAUAUGCUCCUGAUUCCCAUUGUAGAGGAUUUUCUAAUCUUAAACAAUAUUUCAUGCACUGCCUGCCCACCCUUAGGAAUGGAGAUAGGGAAUGGCAAGAAAGGAAGAAGCGAGAGAUGUUGAGGGAAUCAUAAAGAGAAGACAGGAAGUGAAAGUGUCACACACUAUCUCCCUCCAUGAGGCUCUCAUACUUUCUCCUGAUUUCUCCAGACCCUCGUUCUCUGAUUUUCUGCCAACGUAUGUCUUGAGAGCAGAGAGUGCUGGAGAAACAAACUACUUGACUCCUGAAUCAAGCCUUCUGGGUGGGAGCCACAUAGUACAGGGUAAUUAUAGAAAAAAGGAUCAUUUCCAUUCUUCAAUUGCUUUUUCUGUCUAAGAGCAUCAUUUAGUCUUAUAUCGUCUCCAACACUGAUUUAAAAGAGAAGCCUGAUUACCUAGAAGACUUACAGACCUUGAAGCAACCUCCUGUGUGGUCAGAAAAAGAAUAUGCCUGUGGGGAUGAUGAACAGGAUAUAAAGAAAGUUCCUUUGCCUCCAGUUGUCCCCUCUACUCCCUUCAACAUGGUAUUUGUUUUCUCAUUUACUAGUUAACUGAUUAAUAGUAAACAAAUGCUUGCUGUGUGCUGUCAUACUAGAUUCUAUGGUUGACUAGUGAACAAAACAGACCUCUUUACUUAUACGCCUUGUCCUCAGCUCCACACUUCUUGGAGCCUAUAGUGUGAUCAGAGAGGACAGAAAAUACCCAGGAGAAAAAGUAAGUUACAUAGUACAUUAGAAGUGAACAGUAUUGAAGACAGUUAGGGAGGAAAUGCUGGGGUGGGAGUGAGAGGGGAAGGUGACACUUUCAAAGGGGAGAUGACAUUCAGGUAGAAUCUGGAAGGAGGUGUGGGAACAUCAUGUACAUGUGUGAAGGGAAAUUGGCCAGGGAGAAAGAAACACUGUAAGAUGCUGAGGCCAGAGCAUCAGGAAAAGGAAGGCAAAGGAAGCCAGGAUGGAGGGCACAGAGAGAGCAGGCAGGUGAAGAGGAGAUAGAGAAGCAGAUGAAUUGUGUAGAUUCCUACGUACCACUGUCAGGACCUAAUUUCUUUCUCAUGAGAUGUAGAGCAACUGAAAGGUUUUAAUCAGAAAAGUGGCUUGUUCCUAGAGGGGUGAUUUUGGCUGCAGUGAUGAGGGUACCCUGGAGGUGUGAAUGAGCAUAACAAAGGCAGAGGCAGUAACCCGUUGUGGUAGAGGCAAUUGGGAAGCUAUCCCAGUAACACAGGUGAUAUAUGAUGGUUACUUGGACCAAAGCAGUAGCCGUGAAAGUGAUGAUAAAUGGCUAGAUUCUGGGUACAUGCUGAAGGUAGAGCUGGCAGUAUUUCAUGAUAGAUUGGGUGUAAGGUAUGAAGUCAAGAAAGGAGUCGAUUGGCUGCAAAGAUGUGGGCGUAAUAUAGUCAGAUAAAAUGGUGAAAAUAAGUCCAAAGAUUUUGGUCUGAGCAACUCAAAGAAUGGAGUUGCUCUCAACUAAGUUGGAGCAAACCUACAGUUAAAAGUGUUAUUGGAUAGGGGAGAGGAAGGAGGGAGAAAGAUCAGAAAAUGCUGCCCUAGUGAUACUACAUUUUGAGUAAACUUAUCAGGCUCAUUUUUCUCACUUGUAUUUCAUAAGUAAAAUGAGGAAAUUUAAAAAAUGGUAUGGGGAAGGAUGGUGGUAGUUGUGGUGUAGUUGUUAAGUUGUGCCCGACUCUUGCAACCUCAUGAACUUGUAGCAUGCCAGGCUCCUCUGUCAAAGGGAUUUUCUAGGCAGGAAUAUUGGAGUAGGAUGCCAUUUCCUUCUCCUAGGAGGAGUGGUAGGGGAGGGUAAUUUAGGAGCAUAGCUCUAGAGCCCGUAAGUAUAUUUGUCAGUGUAAUAGGAGGUUUGACAUAGUGGAUAGCACAUGGGUCCUGUGGGCAUGAGAAGCUGGGGGUCCUGCUGACCUUGGACAACUCACUCAUUCUCUCUGGAUUUCAUUUCAAUUACUUUGACUACAGAAUGAAGGCUCUUAAUGUCUGUGAGGCAUUCCUCUGGCAUUUUUAUGCCAGGAGACCCUAUAGAGAAGAGUGCAGUAGAAGCUGAGAAAGAAACUAUUUCUUUGCCCUCAUUCAUGUACUACCACUCUAGGACGUUACUAGGGAAAAUGAAGUAGGGCCAUUGUCUAGCUUACUAAAUCAAGGCAGACAAUCAGACUGGGGAAUCUGAUUUUUUAAAAAUUUCCUUUGGCAUCUGUAUUAUCAAGUUUGGCCAUGUGUCUUGAUUAGAUUAAAAUGAUGGUUUAUAGAUCUCUUUUUAUGUGUGUAGUACACACACUAGCAUUGCUUUUCAGAGAAUAUCCAUGCUUGAAAAUGCACCACUCUGCACAGACUGGGAGCCUCUGUACAUUUUGAAAAAUAUAUUUCAUGAUGUGACAUAAUUGCUUUCUUAUGCCCAGUGGGAUGUGAUGAAAUAGUUGUAGGCCGAAAGUCAGAGGGUUCAUCCCAAAUAUGGCAGCACUACCGUCCAGGGGUCCAACAUAUAGAAUGCUAUGCUAUCAGCUCUUCUGUUAGAAUAGAGGAGAUAUGUUCAUAGUAGGUCAGAUGAAACUUCUGGCCUCCAGCCACAGUAUGCUUUGGGCCUCUGACUGUGCCACAUAUUUGUGCCUGCUGUGAAUUUGUUGGCAGGUCCCAAUGUAUUAUAUCUUUAGGGUUGAGGUCUUUCCUUUAAAGCUACUUGUUGAGUCCUGUGGGCUUGUGGGGGCAGAUAUGAAGUCAUUGUGAAUUCUGCAGUGCUAUUAAACUCCACAUUUCUCUCUUGCUCUGGUGCUGACAUUCUAAGCACACAGCAGUUAUGCAAGGAUCGAUUUUUGCCAUGAAUGGGGUGGGGGUUUGAGCAAGCACCUUGGUCAACAACCAGCUCUAGAGGAGAUGUGAAACCCAUUAUUGAUCCAGGGCUGAGAAAUCAGUGACUGUUGUAUUAUAUAAUUAUUGAUGGAGCCAGAAAAUGCCACAGGCAAAGCACAACUUACUAUUUGUUAUGCUGAAUUGUCUCUCGUCUGUGUCAGGCCAUCGUGUUCUGCUCUCGUGUUCCCAUACCAUGUUUAUUUAUACCGCAUGCAGUUAGCUUUCAUAUUUAUCUUGUGAUUCCAUCUUGAGGAAAAAAAAUGAAUACUGACUUUUGUUCAGGGGAUGGAAAAGAAAUACAUUUUUCCAGAUAUUUUAAGGAGUCCACGCUAAGUGCCAAAGUCUGGAAAGAGGGAAGAUGGGCCUCCAAGAAAGACGAUCUGAUGAGUGAAGGGAAGUGAGUACCACUGGUCCACAUUGCUUUUCCUCACCGCAUUCACCAAGUGAGAAGGAUGCAGAUGGUUUGUGUGCUCUAGUGGUGGGGAAUAUUGACGAUGUAGCUACUGUCUGUAAGGUCAUGUAGUAGGGUAGGGAGGGUUAGAUGUGUAUGACUACAAUAAUGUUACGUGAUUGUAACUUAGAAUGUGCGUGGCUAGCUCAUGUGUAGUACGCCAUGAUGCUUUGUUCUGUUCUAGCCACUGCUAGCCCCCUUAACUUUCUCCUUUUCCUUCCCUUGAGUGUUCUUUUCUUUGUGCUUAUCAGCAAACUCACAGCUCCUAGAUAAAAGACUAGCUUCUUUUAUGAUGAAUGUGUGUCUUAGAUUCCACAGCCAUAUAUCAAGUUCAUGGACACAGAACAAAUCCUUCCAUAGACAGGAGGCCCUAUGAAGAAAUCUCGACCACGGUCUAGCUGUUUCAAUUGAUCUAUCUCUAGGAUACAGAGAUGGGGAGGCCAUGGACAGUGAAAAGCUACCAGCACUUGUAGUUGUUACAGUUCACAUUCGUCAACUGGCUUCUGUUCACAAGUGGCUAGGAAAAUUAUUAAAUUGCAUUUAAGGUCUUUAAACUGUUAGCUGCCACUGAAAUUAGGGAGUCUUAGUAUGUCACAAGUAUCUUUUAAAGAAUUAAAGCAGAGAUAACUUUGAGAUGAAAGUUAAUUAUUGAAUAAUCAAACAGCCUAUGCUUAAAGAAAGGAAGCCUGUAUUAAAUAUAGGAGAAAUAUGUUAUUUCCUUUUGGAUAAUGAUGCUGGAGUUAUAAUAGAAGCAUACCUUUAUGGGUAUGAAUACAAAAAAUCCUCACUCAUGAAAUGCAUAUGGAGAAAUUCACUUCUUUCUUCUGUAAGCGUUUAUUUGAAAUUUAUUAAAAAUGAAACUUUGUAAAUGAAGAUUCCUCAAUGCUAAGUUCAGUUUUUUAAUGUUCAGCUUUUAAAGUGAAUUUUUUGGGGGAUGAAAACAAAUUACAGCUGCUGCUCAUUUGCUUAUGUAUGGAAAGCACAUCACCACUGCUAGGUUCCAGGGGGAAAAAGUCUUCUUCAUUAAAAUGUGAACUUGGCAUACGUCUAUGAAUACUUCCGGGUUUUAUGGGAAACUCUUUCAUUUCAUAAACCAUAGAAAUAUCUUCAGCUUUUAUUAUGGACAUUUAACUAUUUUAAUGAAUGCUGUCUUAUAUAUACCCAAGUGUUAAUCUUUAAUUCCUUGAUUUUGUUUUCUGUUGUACUGUCCUGAAUGAGUUAUCAUGGUACGGUUGCUUUUAAAACUUCCAAGAUUAAUUUUUCCUAGAGAGAAAUUUUUUCCCCUUUUAUUCUGAUAGCAGAAUUGAGUAUAUAAUAAAAUGUUAACAAAUCACUGCUGCUACUGCUAAGUCGCUUCAGUCGUGUCUGACUCUGUGUGACCCCGUAGACGGCAGCCCACCAGGCUCCCCCGUCCCUGGGAUUCUCCAGGCAAGAACACUGGAGUGGGCUGCCAUUUCCUUCUCCAAUGCAUGAAAGGGAAAAGUGAAAGUGAAGUUGCUUGGUCAUGUCCGACUCUUCGCGACCCCAUGGACUGCAGCCUAUCAGGCUCCUCCAUCCAUGGGAUUUUCCAGGCAAGAGUACUGGAGUGGGGUGCCAUCACCUUCAGGCUGCUAUUUAAAUGAAACAAAAAUACGUACAUACUUUUCUCCUUAUAGAUUGCCUGUAAGAGGGUAGGCAGAGAUAAAGGAAAAGGCAAAUCAAGUCGACUAAUAACAAAUUCAAGAGAUUGAGUAAAGAAAGCUUCUCUUAGUAUGUUGGACACAAUUGUUUAGAACCGAGGCAAAUAUUCCAUUGAAUAUACUCACCUUCAACACUCAAAUUCAUACCCUCAGGCACAAGUUACUUCAUUUAUAAGCCGUCUCUCCCCUCUGAUUAUAUCUCAGCUAACAAAAUAUUAAAUAUAUGAAAGCUAACUUCAGUCAAACAUUUUUGAUUAGUUUUUUUCUCUUUUCUGAGCAUUCCAUCAAUUCAUUGUUGUAACAGUGUGUGUGUAAAUGUGUGUUAAUUUGAGUAUCAUGCAGGGUUUAUCUACACCAAAAGAUGAAUUUACUAAAAAUGAUUAAACCUCUCAUAGUUAACUCGUUAUUAAAAACCAGCCUAACUCUAUUACAAGAAAGACAUUUUGGCCUUUUUGCAUUUGUCAAAUGCAAAAGGAAAAAAUAAUCAACAUCUUGCAAAAGCAAUUGGUCAAAGUUAUUAAUGAGGCAAUUCUUUCUACAUAAGGCACCAUAGAAAAACUAAUGAGAGAAAAUGGGACAAUAAAUUGUAGGCUACUUUAGAUUGUGUGACAUUCUGAUUAAUAAAGAGUCAACUUUAGUGGGCGAGAUCGACUUUCUGUGCAUUACAAAUACAAAUGUUAUACUUUAUGCAUUAUAUACCACCAUUCUCUUGUAUCUUGAACCAAGGACAGAGUUUUAUGAAUUCUGAGGCCUUCAUAACUUGGGGAUCUAUUCAAAAAUUGCCUUUGAAAAUUUUACAAAAACUGGACUUUUUGCUAGACCUUUUCCAGGAUCUUAGAAGGGAGCUGAUCUAGUUAAGGGCCCUAAAAUGCAAGUCUCAUUGGCUUAGUUACGAAUCUCAUUCCAUCUUCAUUCCUUUACUUAAAUAAUAAAAAGUUAAUUUUUAAUAGACUGCUGCUAAGUCAUGUCUGACUCUAUGUGACUCCAUGGACUGGCCUGCCAGGCUUCUCUUUUGCCAUUUCUUACAUCAGAGAAUCUUCCUGACCCAGGGAGUGAACCUGUGUCUCCUUCAUCUUUUGCACUGGCAGCUGGAUUCUUUACCACUGGUAUAUGAUAUCAUAUAUAUUACCACUGAUACCUAAUAUAUUAAUAUCAUCUAUCAUUAAUCAGCCACUUAAUUGAAUUAUAUAUUCAUUAUAUUAGAGUUCUAGCUGAUGUCUCAAAUAGGCAUGUUUAACACAAUUAACACACAACACAAUAGCUUAACAUAAUUAAAAUUUAUUGGGGAUCCCCUGGAGAAGGAAAUGCAGCCUACUCCAAUAUUCUUGCCAGGAGAACCCCGUGGACAGAGGAGCCAGAUAGGCUGCUGUCCAUGGGGGUCACAAAGAAUUGGACAUGGCUUGGAGACAAAACAACAGCAAGAGCAAGAAUAUUUGAGAAUACAGUACCUGGAUGUAUGGCCACUCUCUAGUGACAUUUUUCUAUCAUGAAAGGGCAAACACAAACCUCUAGAGCACUGAGAAUCUGAAAUAAUUUCUCUCUCCCCACUUUAGAACCUGGUAGGCACCUGACGCUGCACUGGGUACUGGGGGAAAAUACGAUGGAAAAUGGCAUGGACUCUAUGCUCAGAGAUAGUAGUCUAAUAGUUGACACAUUAUGUUUAAAAACAGCUCUAAUGCAGCAUAGACAAAUUAGUAUUUUCAUGAGAGAAUUAGUAUGUUUGAAGGAGAAUGAUUGAAACGUGGAAAAUAAAUUUGUGUAUUUUGCAUCCUUGGAAGUUUCUUAAUUCAUUAAGGCUUUACGCUAUAGGGAUUAAGGAUGUACAAUCCCAGCUUAAAGCUUUCUUCUAAUAUGAACAGGCAGAAUAGACACCCAGCAAUGGGUGAUCUUUCUACUUCUUUUUUUUUUUUUUCUAUUUACUGCUGCUCUAUGUACUUUAAACACAGAAGGAAAGAGAGUGAGGCUGGUGAGAAGGAAAGGAGACAAACCUCUUCAUCUUGUCCCUUCACGGUUUUUCUGUAAUUACCAACAUCUCCCCUGCAUUCUUCCUGUGGGAUUAUAGAGGCAUUUAUGAUGAGCCACAGCAAAUUAUACUGUUAUAAAGGAACAUCCUAGAAUGAAGUAUUGAAAUAUACUUUGUAGAGGAAACAUGCAAAUGUUUAAGCAAAGAUUGUUCUUAUCCCAUUUGUUUAGGCAAAGAAAGCAUACCUUUUGAUAAAUAAAAAAAACAUAUGUAAAAUCAGACUUUGUUAAAGGUCCAGACUUAGCAUGUCUGGCUCUGUCUGUGGUCUUUAAUGUGCUUUUGGGGUAUAAAUCUCAGAGUGGAAGUGAUUGCUAUAGAUGCUGUAUCAUGAACAUGAAAUCUGAUCAGUGUGGAAGCCCUGGCAACAGCUCAUCCAUGGAGAUGACAUCUCUGAACUUUGGGACAUUCUCUUUAGCUAUGGCCAGACUCCACCAAAGGGUCGGGAGAUGGUGAUAUAUGCCCUAUGGUUUAUUCUGGGCAAGGGGGAAGAUGAUGACUAUCAGGAACUAAGUAGGUUCUAUACACUCAGCUGAAUGGUCUGGGGAAAGCUCUAAACUGAGUAGGAAGCUGAGUCAGUUGUCUAGCCUUAGUCACUGGGCCAAAGCAUAUGACAGACAUGGGGUAUUGGGGUCAGUGCCUGGGAAUAUAGAUAGCUUUUUGGAUUGUCUGUAGGCAGACAAUUUCUGAAUGAUGAGGCUGAGGUCCUCCAUAACCCUCUACCCCAGUUAGUGUUACAGGCCAGGAACUAGAGUAGACAUUGAAAGACAGAAGAAAUCAUCACUGGGAAGUGAUAUUGAUUUGAGGGAACAAUAUAGGUUUUGGGUUCAGAAUGGCUUGGACUCGAGUGCCUAUUGAAUGAUUUAAUGGCUGUGUAACAGUUGCCAGAUUCCUUAACUUGUCCAGCUGUUAGUUUCCUUCUCUGUAAAAUGGAAUUACUGAUUCCAGUCUUGAUAAAGGAAAUUGAUGAUUAAGUGAGCUAAUAUAUUUGCAUCUGGUUACUAGUGAUAACUCAAAAGACAAUGGAUUUUUAAUACAACUGCAUAUGGUUCUAAGAUAUUUGAAUAGUCCUAUAAGAGAGGCAUUUUGGGCUCCAUUUAAUUGAUUAGAAUGAAGGCUCAGAGACUUUAGGUAACUAAUUUCAUAUCAUAAGUAAAUGACAGAACCAGAAUUCUAAAUCAAGAGUGACUGAAAUGCUUCUUUUAGUCCAUUUCAUCAUGUUAGCUCCAUAAGUACCAGCAAUGCACAUGUUUUAAGACUGUGUGCAGUUCCUGCUAGUUUGUUUAAAAAUUCUACAAUUGAUGAUUUAGUGGAGAUCUGACUCUGUAUAUCCUGGCCAGCUGCUUCAGUUUUCCAGGGGAAGUAUUUUCUAGGGUCUUAGUAGGGCAGGGAGCAGAAAGAUUAUUGAGGAAGCACAUUUUAAUAUAACUCCGAAUGAAGAGCCAGGCAAGCCCUUGGAUGACAGAAAUGCCGUAUUUGGAUAAGUCUGCAAUGGAGGCCUCUAGCUGUGGCUAUGAAAGACCUCCAUGUUAAUUAUGAGGUUUUGUGAGAAGUUUUAUUGGAUAGUGAGGAGUAUAUAUGAGUUUCCGUCCUUCUCAUCACUUGAGUUUUAAGGCGUUUAGGUAAUUUCAGAGUCUGAGGCAAUUCUAUGCCUAUUAAUUUGGGUAUUGAUUUUCAGUUUCAACAUAAAUUGUGCUCCUCAAGAGGGAAGUUCAAAAGGGAGGGGAUAUAUAUAUACCUGUGGCUGAUUCAUGUUGAGGUUUGACAGAAAACAACAAAAUUCUGUAAAGCAAUUAUCCUUUAAUAAAAAAAAAAUUAAAAAAAGAUGAACGUUACAUGAGUUCCACUUUUGUCUUAGAUGCAUGUUAUUUAUUUAUUUUUUUUACUAUAUAGACAUUCAACAACUGUUCCUUUUCCUUCUUAUUUAAUAUCUAUCUCUUAACUUAACAUCCUUUCUUAGCUGGGAAAGGACUUCCUCCUGACCCUGAAACUGGGGAAUGGUCAGUUUUGAACUGAACUUUAACUGCCUGCAUCAACCCUACCAACAGUGAAGCCUUCAGACAAUGCCAGUAUGAACUGUCACUUAGGUAUUGAAGUUAUAGCGAAGGACCAGUGUAUCUAAUGGCCAGACUGUAAGAAAACAAUGAAGUAUCGUUGCAUGAGAUGUGUUGCUCAGCAUGGCCUUAGGCAGAAGAGGAAUGAAAAACCACCCAAUAAAAUUGGCAUAGUACAUUAAAAUAUGGAUUUGGUUUAGCAGUGAUGCCAAGGUAUGCUCUUUUGUCAAAACAGUGUCAAUGGCAUAGAGCAGAGAGAAGGAAAUUUAUGUAAAGGGCCAGAUUAGUUAAGUGUCUUGGGCUUGUGGACCAUACUGUCUCUGUUGCAAUUAGCCAGCUCUGCGUUUGUAGCAAGAAAGUUGCCAUAGGCAAUAGCAAUAUGUAAAUGAAGGAGCAUGGCUGUUCUAAUCAAACUUUAUUUACAAAAACAGGUGGUGGUCUAUAUUUGUCCCAUCAUCCUUACUUUGCUCAUCUCUGGUUUAAAGUCACAGAGAGGUGAAACCGGAAACAAUUCCAGUCAACCUUCUCAUUUUCGAGAUAAGGGAACUAAAGUCCAGGGAGAAGGUGAACUGUCUCAUAUAACUUAGCUGUUUCCGGCCAAAUGGAAAAGUAAAACCAAGUUUUGUGACUCCAGGCCAGUAGCAUUUGCACUGCACCACAGUGUGUCUUGCUUUUUGAUUCAUCUUUCCGCGGGCUUAUCUUCUCAGCCUCUAAUCAUGAUGCGCAGUCAUUUGUGUUCCUGACGUCGGCAUAAAAAGUUCUAAACCUAUUUAUUUUUAAAAAUAGGGGGAAACAUCUUACUUUGGAAAUGUGUUUUUUGUUUUGCUUGUUGAAACUGUGCACAGGCAUAUUAAUCCCUGAAUACUUGAAUGGUAAAAUUUUUAUUUUAAAACAUGUCAUCUUGCAGGAAAGUUUAUAUCAGCAUUGACUGAAAACCCCUUUCCUCAAAUGCUUUCCAUCUAUGGCCAAACAUCCUAAGUGUGAUGAUCUUAAGUUUAAAACAAAGACCUACAUACUUUUCAGAAUGAAGUCAAGAAUGACUUAGAUUUAUUGAGGCUUUUGUAGUCUUUCAUCCUACCUCUUGGACCUAAUUAUAUUUGAUACAUUUGAAGGAAUAAUAGUCUUGAUGAAACAAAGGAUCUGGACAGAGGCAGUGUGAUUGGCUUCUUCAGAGAAAUUCUAUAAUGUGUGUACAUGAGUUCCUGAAGCGUUUUCACUCAACUUACCAAAAAAAAAGAGAUUUGGGGUAACUUUCCGAUAUGUUCAUUGAUGGAAAAUGCACCCAUUCACAACUGUACUAUACAGUACUUUAUGGUUAGCUCAGUGGUGUGUGUGUUCCUAUUAAUCUCACAAACACAAUGAAGUGCUUCUCAGGUUAUGGGUGCACAACAUGAUGUAGAGUGCAUUUUUGGCCAUUGUCCAGUUUAUUUGGUCAAUGUAGACAGUCAAUCUAGGUAAUUGAAGACCUAAAUUGGAUUUCCUGGCCAUAAUUAUCCCUGUUUGUCCAUACACAUCCAUCAGAUUUAUCAGAUAAUUGCCAUGGUGCUUCAUUUUGUGCUGUCCUAACUCAGGUCAACUUAAAAAGAAAGAGGACUGGCCUGUGAAUGAGGAGCCAUAGGUUGAAUUUUGAUUGUUGUCCAUUUGUGAGACCUUUGGGUAAAGUGUUUAACCUCUCUGGACCUUUUUACCUUUCUGGAUCUGGACUUGCAAGGACCUAUAAGUGUCAUAUCUGAGAUUCCUUUCAACUUUAGUGAGCUAGGACUAGUUUAGAUCUACAUGUUGUAACUACUUUGAUUCUAUUUUUACAGAAAUGAUAUUUAAUAUUUAAGUGUACAUUUAAAAGUGGUUAAUAUUAUGUAUUUUAUAUUAUGUGUUUCCAAAUAUUUGUAUUUGUUUAUUUAGGGAAUCACAGAGCCCAUCCAUCACUUCCAGAAUGAAUGAUCUGAUUCUGUGUUCUUAGCUGAAACUCCAAUGCUUUGGCCACCUGAUGUGAAGAGCCAGCUCAUUGGAAAAGACCCUGAUGCUGAGACAGAUCAAGGGCAAGAGGAGAAGGGGGCAACAGGGGAUGAGAUGGUUGGAUGGCAUCACUAACUGAAUGGACAUGAGUUUGAGCAAACUCGGAAGACAGUGAAGGAAAGGGAAGCCUGGUGUGCUGCAGUCCAUGGGGUCGCAAAGAGUCAUGACUUAGCAUGACUUAGCAAUUGAGAAGCAACAACAAGUGACUGAAAAAUGAAAUGUUCCUUGUUUUAGUUAUUAAGAUAGUCAGAUGAGGUUGACCAUUUGAUGCCUGAUCCAUUGCUUAUCAUUUGUCUAUAUUGCUUUGACUGGGGCCUAAGAAUGUUCAGCUCUGAUGACCUGGCCUCCUCCUUUGGUGUCUAGGAUAUGCAGAGUAAGAUAAGACAGAUCAUGCCAUUAAGAUUUCUCACUUUUGAAGCUCAUAACCUGGGGAAAAGCAAACCAAUGUGGCCUUCCCUCCAGGCAAAUUUGUGAGCUGAUGUCUUGUAUUUGCUUCUUGGAUAGGAGGAAGAGAGGUGAUGAUCUGAUCAAACUGAAGUACUUCAAGAUAAAUACUGUAUUCUUCAAGUCAAGGGUAUAAAGUAGCCAAGCACUGCAUACCAUAUAAUGUGGUGGUGGUCUUUAGUGGCUAAGUCAUGUCUGACUCGUUGUGACCCCAUGGACUAUGGCCCACCAGGCUCCUCUGUCCAUGGGAUUCUUUAGGCAAGAAUACUGGAGUAUGGUUGCCAUUUCCUUCUCCAGACCAUAUAGUGUGGUGAAUCAUAAAGUUUUGUCUAUGAAUUGAAUUAUAUAUUCAUUAAUUUUCCAGGCUUCAUUGGUGGCACAGUGGUAAAGAAUCUGCAGGAGAUGCAGGUUUGAUCCCUGGGUUGGGAAGACCCCAUGGAUAUGGAAAUGGCAACCCAUUCCAGUACUCUUGCUUGGGAAAUCUCAGGGACAGAGGAGCCUGGCCAACUACAAUCCAUGAGGUUGCAAAGGUCAAACACAAUUUAGUGAUGGAGUGUACACACACGUCUUGUAAAUGACCUAACAGAAUCAUGAGAACAGAGCUUGUGAUGGGAGGUAAAGGAAAUCGUGCAGUUUCCUCCCUCCCUAGUCGAUCCUUGACCUUCCUCGUUUUUGUUUCCCUUGGCUGUUGACCUGACCCACUCUGACUACAUUAUUACUGUUUUCCUAAUUCUUUCUUCAUUCCUUAAUCUGACUGGCUUGUCUCUGUUUUAUCUCUUUACCAGCUGUCAGCCUCUGAAUGAGUCCUUUCAUCCUUCACUUUCCACCUUCUGAAGUUUUCUUCUCCAGAAAUUCAGAACACAGUUAUCUACAACUUAGAAAUCAUUCAUUCCAGGAGUGGGUAGAACUUUUUUGUCCCAGUGGUUAUGGAAUUGCGUGUGUGCAUGCAAAGUCACUUCUCUCAUUUCCGACUCUUUGCAACCCUAUGGAUUGUGGCCCACCAGGCCCCUCUGUCCAUGGGGAUUGUCCAGGCAAGAAUACUGGAGUGGGUUUCCAUGCCUUUUUCCAGGGAUUCUUCCCCACCUAGGGAUUGAGUCCGCAUCUCAUGUGUCUCCUGAAUUGGCAGGUGGGUUCUUUAUCACGAGUGUCACCUGGGAAGCCUGGUUAUGGGCUUGGCCUAGAUAACUCAGUGGGUAAAGGGUCUGCCUGCAAUGCUGGAGACUCAGAAGAAGUGAGUUUGAUUCCUGGGUUAGGAAGAUUUCCCCUGGAGAAGGAAAUGGCAACCCACUCCAAUAUUCUUCCCUGAAAAAUCCCAUGGACAAAGAAGCCUGGUCAGCUACAAUCCAUGGUACUAGAAAGAGACACUACUGGGUGACUAAGCACGUGCGCACACACACACUCACACAGACGCACACACGCACACACACAAGGGCAAUUAGAAGAGUGAGAUGGGAGGGAAGAUAGAAGCAUCAGGAGGUCUCUACAUUAGUUUUCAGCUUCUCAGAAGAAUUUAAAACCCCUAGAGAAAUGAGAAUGUUUUUCUGCCCCUGCAGUUCUUUACCUCAACUACACAUAAGACGUCUAAAAACAAAGAUUUCAUAUUCAACUCUCAAGACAUAUGAGACCCUAAAUACUCCUAAAUAGUUAAUCUGAUAUUGCACAAUGUUGACAUUGUCUUUUUUUCUUUGAUAUAAAACCUGGUACAUAUGUAAAAAUCAAUAUGCCGGCUGUGGCUUAGGUACAUAAAAACAUUAAAGCAUCUGUCUUGUAUUCUUGCUAUUUAAAACAUUUUGGUAUUAUUGUAAUCAUAAUUAAACCACUGACUCUAAAUCAGAUGAUAUUCUAGUUAUUAAUAUCAGUAAGUUUCCAAACAUUGUGGUAGAGAAAAUAACUAUAAUAUUUUAAUCAACAGGUGUGAUCAAGGACUAGAAUAUUAGAGUUAGCUUAAUUUUCUAGUGGAUUGUAAGUUAAAUUAAUUCCUAUAUGGAAAUAGCCUGCAAUAAAUAUGCUUCUGAUUAGAAUUUACAGAAAGAAUUUUCUCUGCAAUGCCCUUCAUUUAAGAUAGGUUGCUGGACUCCACCCCUAAUGUUCUGGAUUAAAUACGUAUGAGAUAGUUCAAGAAUUUUCUAUCUAGUUCCCAAGUAAUACUGUUGGUUUGAGGAGCAUAAUUAGAGAACCGCUGUUCUCAGAUAUAUUUUAAUUUAAUAGUAUAUUUAUUGAGUUGUUUACCAUUCUUAAUAGUACUUUAUUUAUAAGACAAUAUUCCUUUUCUACUCAUCUCUAUUAAGAUAAUGUGCUCCCUCAGACAGCUAAGAUUUAAUUUGGGUAAUAUGUGACCUGGCCUAUCGAUGAUAAGGCCUAUUACUUCCGAAGUUUGACCAAUCCUGACCAAAUCUGACCGUGGUGAUGAAUGAAGUUUCCAGAAGGCAGCCUACACAUAGAUCAUCUGUCUCCUGUGGCCCAGGUUGCUCAGCUUUCUGCCUCUUAAACUUGAUUUGUAUCCUUUCCAUCACUCCUGUUGCCUGGGCACUGGUUAACCAGGAAUCUUAGGUGCUUAGAUAGUGCCUUUAUUCUUAGGUUGAAAGACCAUGGACCACAAAUAAGCUAGUUAGGAAUAACUUUUGUGGGCUGAAUUAGGUUGGGCAUAUAUACAACACCUCAAAAUUGCUUAGAGAAAUAGGAUGCUAACCUUGCUUUCCAGAAACAGCAGAAAGCAUAAGUAAUUCAAGGAAUAUACUACAUAGUCAUUCGUCCUUGGACAGGUUUUUACAAAUUCAUUUACAUUAGGAAGAAAUAUUUAUUUUCAUGUUGUUCUGGCAAUAUAAUGAAGUUACUGCUGAUGCAAUGCAGUAAGAACAGAUGCUUUAGUCACUCAGGGUCAUGGGUAUUCUAGAUCCUUUGGAACAGGUGAAAAUUUGAAAAGGUUUCUUUCACCUUAGGGGAUGCCUGGAGUGAAAGUUCAGACUUCUGGGGUGACCUGGAGGUGCCUCCUGUAUUCACAGACAUCUGUGCACGUCAUUACAUAGCCACCUGUCAUGCUGGAAAACUUCUGAAAAGUCCACACUGUCUGGAUCAUUUUCUGGUAAAAAUCAACCUAGAUACUGAGAUGAAGACUAUAAUUUUGUAAAUGAUUUCUCCUUACCUGAUGCUAUUCCAUUCUUAACAAAUCUUUUAGGACCGGAUAAUGAGCCAUGAGAGUUACUGGCAAUAACUUUGCCAAUAGGAAAAAAGAAUAGUGUAUUAUAAAUGGGCUUAUUUAAAACAGAUAUUAAAUUGAUCAGUCUAAUCAAAUGAGAAAUUCAGAAAGUUGUUACUCAUAGUUGUAUUUUUUUAUAUACUAGAAUAGACAAGAGCUUUCCUAUUUUUCAGUUUCUGGACCAUUGUCUCUUACCUUAGAAUAAAUUAAUCCAAAGGAAAAACAACUUACUAUACCUACCAAAGGUAGCAUUGCGAUUCAGAACUAUAUCAUCACUUCUGUAGUCUCUUAUGAAUCUAUUUACUUAAGUGACUUCCAUUAGUUCACUGGUGUAAUUUCUUUAAAACCUCAUCAGCAAACAUAUAUUUUUUGAAUGGUUCAUAUCUUGGCCUUAAAAUGUAUUAUACUUUUCAGUUCUGGAAGAGAAAUUGCUUUACAUUUAUAUCAAACCAAGUCCUUGGUUGCAGUUAAGGAUUGACCUAGUUAUUGAAAAUGAUGGCAAGAGAAUGAGCUGGUGAUGCAAACCAUUACUGUCUUCUAACAUCUCUCUGGCAGUAAAUUGCAGUGUAAAUUCCAAGCUAUGUCUUCUAUCUUCCAAUUUUGGUUGCUUUACAGUUUAUCACAUAGAGGCUUUAUUGUUGUCUGCAGGGGGCUUACACAGCCAAAUGGGACAGAGAAAAAUCAUGAAUACACAAGUCAAAAAUCAAAGGAAUGGUGUUAAACAGCCACUAUGUUAUAAAUAAUACAUGUGUAUUUAAAGCAACAACUGUAUACAUGUUCAAUAUUUGCUAUAGGGAUUUAUGACUUUUUUUCUUGAUAAACUUUUUUAUUUUUGUUUUUGAUAUAAGUUUAUCAAUUUCCUUCCUCUUGAAAGCUUAUUGGGUACAUUUUGUUUAUUUUCUGGGACUCUUACACCUUUGGAUUAUUUUGGGGGUCCAUUUUCCAGAUCGUUGCCCUUCCCGCAGUCUUCAAGGACUUUACCCAAGUCCUUCAGCUUUCAGAUAAAUAAACAUGCUAUCCAUACCUCAAAUCCGCAACAGAUAACUGAACUAUUUAGUGGUUAUUAAUAUGUACUAAACCACUUUGCACAAAAUUGAUGGUGGGUAUUAAUAUUUAUUAUUUACACAUGCAAAAAGAUAUACAUAUUUAUUUCUCUUUAAUCCUAUCACUGUUUUAUAAAUAUUGUACUUAAUCCAUCAAUAAUACAACAUGCUUCCAUUAAUCCCAAGAAAUAAUUAGAAAACAUUUAUGAUAAUGAUAAUAUUACUUUGUACAAAUAUUAUACAAACCCCUUAAACCCUUAGGGAAAAUCACAGCUGCUAAGAAUGUCAGAUACCCUGACUGCUCUGAAAUAGAUAGUAGGCUGCUGAUUUGAUAUUUAAUGGAAAAUUAAGCUAAUUAAAUAGUAUUAAAAAUAGACAUUAACACCUUGACCUUAUAUCUUAGCUAGGUUAGAACGUCUUUAACAUUGAAUCCUGCCUUAUAAAUUGUACAUGUUGUACUUAUUCCUGUAAUACAUUCUAGUUUCAUAUCCUUUUAUAAAGUGUUCCAUGACAUUUAGCUGUUGACAAUAGUUUUCAGUGAUGGGUCAAGGUUUUCAAUGAGCCUUUGCCACUUGCCUUUAUUGUUGGUCCAUGAAUGUUGUCAUACUAAACUACUUGUUCUGAUAUGUAAUAGAAAAGUCGUGACCCUGCUUCAUGUCAUACUUUGCUUCGAACAUGUUUCCAAGAAGCCAUUUAAUGACUGUGCAACUCCAUGGUUAACAUAAUGCUGGAAUUUAAAGGUAUUUAAUUUAUUCUCUGUAUUAUAACUUACAUAAUGUGGUACUUCUUGUAUAGCUACAAGCAGUGGUAUGUUUAGAACUACCAACAGAAUCCCAGGUUUUAUAUUGUGACUGUCCUUUUUAUGCUAUGCAUUGACACUGAAAUUGGGAAAGUUACUUUUUUGAUUGUCAGUUUUAACAUUGGAAAUACAAUACUACCCCAUAGAGUAGUUGGAAAGUUUAACUCUGGUAACCUAUAUGGAAGCAUUUAGUGUUCUCAUGGGAACAUGCCAGUACCUCUGUAGGUAUGUCUUAUUCUGUCUCUUCUUUUCAUCUAGACUUCCUUCCUUUUAUCUGGCAGAAAUCUUUCUCUCUCUUUGCUUAUAUCUCUUAUCAGUCACCACGGUUCUGCUUGUGUUAUUGUUUUUCAUCUCUCUCUGCCUUCUGAGGGCAAGGGACUGGGUGUGUUACCUUGUUCUAUACUAUGGCUAGCACAAUACUUUCCAGAAAAGCAUACAUGAUAAACUAUUGUUUCAAUUAAAUUGAACUUUUGAAACAAGCCAAAUUAGUAUUUCAGAAUUCAGUUUCUGGAGAUGACAUUCUCUUCUUUCACAUAGUACUCAGUUACUCAUUGUAAUCUUACCAUGUGUGUGUGUUGAGAGCAACAGACAGACAGGCAGAGACAGAUGCAAGGGAGGUUGGGGGAGAAGCAGCAUCAAAUCAAGGACUGCCACUUGAAUUGGUGGUAGGGAAUUAGAGAUUAAGGAAUUAUUUCUACUUGAGAAAAGAACAUUUUUUUUUCCUCUGAGACCAUCAACAGAUCAUUGUGAGAAAGGUGGAAUCAAAAUCCUCAACCAAAAUGAGCCCACAGACAGAGGAACAGCAGGUCCAGGUGGAAGAAUAGAGAAGCAUGUGCGGGUACCGAGCAUCUCAGGGAGGCGCGUGUGGUUUGGGACUUGGGGAAGAUUUCCAUGGCGAGGGCACAAGGCAGGCCGCGCUAAGCUGGGUGCUGCCAGGGAGCCGUGGGGCAGUGAGCCUGCAGCCACUGCACCUGUUCUUUCCAGGCUUCACUUUAUUACUUUACAACCAAGUAGCUUCAGACCAAGUAGCUUCAUGUUUGCAGAGGGUUUACCAAUCAUGUUUUAUUAAUGAAUCCUUACGGCUUUGCUCUGGGCUACAUCUGUGUUAUUAGCCUUAUUUCAUAGACUAGAAGGCUGAGGCACGGAGGCAUUCAGCAUCCAAAUACAGGCAGAAAGUGAAAGGCCGUAGGCAGACAAAGCAACAAGAGUCUCUGUACUUCGGCACCUUAAAAAAAUGAAGCUGACUUACGCUGUUCUGCCCUCCCCCUUCUCAAAGUACCUUUCACUUUUUUUUUUGUCAACUUGACUUCCUCUUCAGAGCCAGCAUGAUAAGAAUAAGGUAAUCCCAUUUUUAUUAAAGUGAAAGGAAAAAAGAAGAAGAAACAUGCUAUAAAACUGUCACAAAAAUCCCACUGAUCAUCCAGGUAAUCAAAUUGUGGGGCACGGAGAUCAGUGUUAGCAACCAAUGUCCGAAACUAGCCACUUAGGCCUGUCAUGGGUGACAGCUCCACCAUCUUCCCUGUUGCCCAGGGAACACGCAGGCGGUUCUGUCCAAAGGGGAGGAUGUGGAGAGGGAGGGAGGAGUCAGCGACAGCCCUGCCUGGAUGCUCUGGAGGAGGUGAGUUUAAUCUAUAGGGAAGAGUGGCAAGAUUGUAAGAAGUUAAAAAGGAAGUCUAUCUGAAAUUCCCAGCUUAGCUUCUGAAUAGCCUCAGACAUGCCUAUUGAGAUUUCAGUCACUAAACUCAGCCCCCGGGAAAUGCCCUUUAUAUCUUCACUACUUGAUCUAUCAUUCACUCUUCUGAAAGGCCAGCUCAGUAUUGUAAAACCUUCCAGCCACCACACUGUCCCACGGAUGACUGGCCACUGUUACACGGUUCCCAUCCAUGUGCAUAGGUGUGUGUGAGUGGAGAGCUUUAUUAAGUUGGUGUGGAAACCUUGCCUCACUCUUGAUGUUUGUAAAUACUUCUAUUUUGUCUUCCUACUUUAGAAACCUCCUCUUUCAGGUAAAAGGUAUCAUGCGUGUAUUGAUGUUCUCAUUCACAUCUGGCCUCAGUAGGAGGGCUUGUAUCAUUUCAAGGCUAGCUAUGAAAAUUAGAAAAGAAAUCCUAAUGCCUUUUCAUCUCAAGUCUUUGAUUUAUAGGAGUGAGAAAAAAGAAGCCUCCACACCCCAUCCGUUUUUGAGUUUGUGAGGAAGGCUUUUAGACUUAGGGCUAGUGAUCAGCAUGUAGAUUAAAAAGAAGAGUGAAUUUGAACCUAUAAAGGGGAUAUUCUGCAGUAUUCAACCCAUUCAUUUCUUUCACAAAAGAGAGAAUUUUGGAUGAAUAAAAAUUACCGAUCAAAGUCAGAGUGUGAAGAAAGUGUGCUCUCAUGACGUGUUUCUGGAGUCUGUGUCACUCCCUUCAGCAUACACACAGCAGACAUCCUGGCCAUCUGCCAGAGCCUCUCAGGAGUUGUGUUUGUCACACCUUUAGAAGAGAGAACUGCCAGCCUGACCACUGGUGCCCAGUCUGCUUCAUCAGCCUGCUGAUUCUGGGGCCUUUGGCAUCCAUGCAUAUCAGUGCAGGGUGAUAGGAGCCUCACAGGGGAAUUCAAAUAGAAACCGGGAGCUGAGCCGCUGCUUCCUGACAGGUCACCCCAGCUGCCUCCCCUGUCCCAACAGGGGCUGGCCGACAUUCCAGACUCAGCCUCCUGCAGUAUUUUAAAUAAGACCUUAUUUUGUCUUCUCUGUGUCAGAGGUUCUGAUUGCCAGAUUUCUG
ensembl:lncRNA